CAUAGGUUAAUGAGGCGAACCGGGGGAACUGAAACAUCUAAGUACCCCGAGGAAAAGAAAUCAACCGAGAUUCCCCCAGUAGCGGCGAGCGAACGGGGAGGAGCCCAGAGCCUGAAUCAGUGUGUGUGUUAGUGGAAGCGUCUGGAAAGGCGCGCGAUACAGGGUGACAGCCCCGUACACAAAAAUGCACAUGCUGUGAGCUCGAUGAGUAGGGCGGGACACGUGGUAUCCUGUCUGAAUAUGGGGGGACCAUCCUCCAAGGCUAAAUACUCCUGACUGACCGAUAGUGAACCAGUACCGUGAGGGAAAGGCGAAAAGAACCCCGGCGAGGGGAGUGAAAAAGAACCUGAAACCGUGUACGUACAAGCAGUGGGAGCACGCUUAGGCGUGUGACUGCGUACCUUUUGUAUAAUGGGUCAGCGACUUAUAUUCUGUAGCAAGGUUAACCGAAUAGGGGAGCCGAAGGGAAACCGAGUCUUAACUGGGCGUUAAGUUGCAGGGUAUAGACCCGAAACCCGGUGAUCUAGCCAUGGGCAGGUUGAAGGUUGGGUAACACUAACUGGAGGACCGAACCGACUAAUGUUGAAAAAUUAGCGGAUGACUUGUGGCUGGGGGUGAAAGGCCAAUCAAACCGGGAGAUAGCUGGUUCUCCCCGAAAGCUAUUUAGGUAGCGCCUCGUGAAUUCAUCUCCGGGGGUAGAGCACUGUUUCGGCAAGGGGGUCAUCCCGACUUACCAACCCGAUGCAAACUGCGAAUACCGGAGAAUGUUAUCACGGGAGACACACGGCGGGUGCUAACGUCCGUCGUGAAGAGGGAAACAACCCAGACCGCCAGCUAAGGUCCCAAAGUCAUGGUUAAGUGGGAAACGAUGUGGGAAGGCCCAGACAGCCAGGAUGUUGGCUUAGAAGCAGCCAUCAUUUAAAGAAAGCGUAAUAGCUCACUGGUCGAGUCGGCCUGCGCGGAAGAUGUAACGGGGCUAAACCAUGCACCGAAGCUGCGGCAGCGACACUAUGUGUUGUUGGGUAGGGGAGCGUUCUGUAAGCCUGUGAAGGUGUGCUGUGAGGCAUGCUGGAGGUAUCAGAAGUGCGAAUGCUGACAUAAGUAACGAUAAAGCGGGUGAAAAGCCCGCUCGCCGGAAGACCAAGGGUUCCUGUCCAACGUUAAUCGGGGCAGGGUGAGUCGACCCCUAAGGCGAGGCCGAAAGGCGUAGUCGAUGGGAAACAGGUUAAUAU
rnacentral:rRNA from 1 species